GAUCCUGGCUCAGGAUGAACGCUAGCUACAGGCUUAACACAUGCAAGUCGAGGGGAAACGACAUCGAAAGCUUGCUUCCGAUGGGCGUUGACCGGCGCACGGGUGAGUAACGCGUAUCCAACCUGCCCACCACUUGGGGGAUAACCUUGCGAAAGUAAGACUAAUACCCAAUGAUAUCUCUAGAAGACAUCUGAAAGAGAUUAAAGAUUCAUCGGUGAUGGAUGGGGAUGCGU
rnacentral:rRNA from 1 species